rfam:Ixodes scapularis strain Wikel colony gcontig_1107728634082, whole genome shotgun sequence.
UCCUAGUUAGCUUAGUUGGCGGAGCACUCCACUGGAAAUGGAGAGAACCCUGGUUCGAUAACAGGACCAGGCG